ACCUAAUAAUGAUAAAAACAAGGGAAAAGAGCAGAUAAGCCCAUAAGUAAGUAAAGAAAAAUCAGUGAAUAAUAAAUUCUGAGUUUUCCAUCCACUUACUCGGUGCCUCUGCUGCUAAGCUUUGAUUAAGCGGAUAAGAAGAUAAGAGGGAGAAAAAUAGCAUAAGACAUUGUUAGCCAAAGGUGUGAAUGGAAUCCGAAGAAAAGGGAUAGAGAGGUUGGUUUUGUUUAUGUAUUUAGUGGGCGAAUCCCAUUGGUUAAAACCCUUUGAUGAGGGAGGCAAAUUUCUGAGGAAGAAGAUGAUUGGCUGAAGCAGGUCUCCUCUUCAGAUCAGAUCAGAUCAGAUCAGAAAAAAGGAAGCCAAUUCCAUUUUUUCUCUCUUUCCCCCUUUGAUGUUAUCCACAGUUCCACCCAACUCCCCAGCAGUCAGGACAUUUCCAUGUGAAUGAUGGUUGAGCAAUAACACAGCUUUCACAGUUAUCCUUUACUUGUUUGGAUCAUAGAACAGAAAAAAACAUCACACAAAAAAAGUUACCAGCUGUUUUAGAGGUCCAAUUAGGCAUUAGAAAUUAAAUAGAAACUGUUUGGGAGAAAAAGCAGCAAUAUAGGAAAGAAAACAGAAAGAAAAGGAAGGGAGAGGUAUGGAGCAUUUCUGUCUUUAACAGGCUGUGUGUGAAUUGCCUUUACUAAAGGUCCAAGUUCUCUGUUUUAAGAACAGACACUAGUCAUGUCAACAAUUUGAACAAUAAAUAUUGGAUUUUAUUACACAAAUAUUAUUUGCAUUUCAUUAUGCUCACAUACAAUUGUUUAUGCAAAAGAAAUGAGGUUACAAGAGUAUGGAGAUUCUCCUGUCAGUUUCUGUAGCCUUCUGCUGACGUUUUGAUCCUGGUCCCAUGGGUACCAAUUUACAAGCCUUCAGACAAAUUGCUUGAAAACCAUCAGAAGUUAUUUGCCUAAAAUGCCCUCUUUUUCAAUCAAUUGAAAGGUAGAAGGAAUAGCAAAGUCUUCAACAAGAACAACUAGUGCGCUAAUGUCUUAUACGGUAUAUAAGUCUCCUACACGACUAAAACACUCUUAGAAAACAUAAUAUCGAAAGUAAAUAUACUAAUAUUACUAAAAUAUAUUCUCAAUUAUAUUGAUCAUUUUAAUUCAUUAUGCCCUAUUCUUCACUUGGUGUACAUGGAUUCGAGAAGAUUGUAGGUCUUUGCAGACAAUUUUCUUCUAAUUAGUUGUAGGUGAUCACCUCGUCCCUGUUUUGACACUUUCGCUCACCAUGGUCUCACAUCUAUGAAUCGAUGUGUCUGCAAUUCAAUGCAGGACAUUUUCAAACCAUCUCAAGUGGACUCUUCUCACUGUGUUCUCGAUGUAAUACUACUCGCAACUUUUGCCAAAUGUGAUCAUUAUAAUCUUGUACAACUGCAAAUAUAUCUUAAUAUCUACUAAUUUGCGGCAAUCAUCUUGUGGAUAUGAUGGACUUUAACAUCUCUAACAUUCACUCUCAUAUAACAUUUCUAAAUAUCUUUCUAUACAUAAUACCUUGAUAACACUUUUUUAUCUCAACUUUUAAACUAUUUUAUUUUGAUUCUAUGUGUAAUAUCUUUAUCUAUUGCACCAAAAUAGCAAAAGUAAAGUCUUUGAUGCUUACAAUACUUUCUAGGAUAAUUUUUCUGGUUAUAUAUAUCUAAUGACAACAGUAGCGGUUGAUCUCUGAAAUUGAUGACCUGAGAAGGGUCAGGGCCAUGUCAUGACUUAAUUAGCCACAUAAUUGGGGUUUAGUACAUCUAUAUAUAUUUGUAGGUCCACUCUGUUUUCCUCGAUCUUAUUAGUGACAUCUGGUGGACGGUAGUUAAAGUAUAAGAUGUGUGAUAAAACCAGCUGUGAAUUGCCGUUCUUGAGCAUUGAAGGUCUUCCUUGCAGGCCUUAAUUAUGCAGGCCAGUGGACUACCUUUUCUAAUUUUCUUCCAAUAGUUUUGAAUUCUUGUUUCUUUAGUUGUUUUAUUAUUUGAAGAUUCCAUAUAUAAUGAGACUACCCAACCUAACCAAAAAGAUCACAUGAACAUAUGCAUAGACUUAGUUACAGCACCGAAGUCAUCAAUGUCCAUGUAUCUUGUGAAAGUCCAUUAUUUCACACUUUGGAUUUUCUCUAACCGUAUAACGGACAGUCAAAUUGCUUGAUUUGAAUGAAAUUUUUUGUUUUCUAGUUCGACAUCUCUUUUUGGAUUAUUAAGCUUAGAACCAAGGUGUUCAAACUUGACUUGAAUAGAUGUGGUUGAGCCACUCAGUCAUUUUAUAUAUUACUUUUAGGCUUUAGCACCAUCUUUUGUAUGUUAGUUAUGGAAUGAGAUUGAGUUAUCCAAAAAAGGAGAAAGAACCGAGGGGUUCAAAAUAUAGAUUCUAGAUUCUAACUUAAACAGUUAAACUAAUAAUUCACAGUUGCAUUCAAUUCUCAAUUUAAAGUAUCUUUAUAGUUUUUCUUAACCGAUCAAUUCAUUGUGCAAAUGAUUAUUCUAAAGGCGAAGUUGCAUAUAUGAAUGAAAUAAAUAUUAAAGAAUUGGCUCGGUCUCAACUUGGUUCGAUUAUGCUGUACAAAGCUUGAUUGGACUUGUUUUGUACUGCCAAAUCUUGGUUUGGUUCACCUUGGACUCGACUUUGCUUGUUGCUAAGGCCAAUGACGGAGUUAUGUAGAGCCAAGCGAGUUCAAUUGAAUCUCUUUUAUUGAAAAAUUAUAUUGUGUAACGAAUAUUUUAUUAUACAUAAAUUGUUGCAUCCCCUUGAGUCCUUGACAUAAGAGAAUAUUUUAAUGUAAUGGCAAAAAGGAUCCAAAGUUGCUUUUGAUCAUAAGUUCGAAUUCGUAAUUUUCUAAGAUUCUUUUGAACUCCCUUGCAUAAACUCAUGACUGCACUAUUGACUAUAGCAAGUUCAUGAGAUUAGCUCGACUCAUAUCUAUUUGGCUCAAUGCUCAAAUUAACUUAUUUAUAGGUCAACCUUUUUAUAUGCUUGAUGUUGUUAUAAUUGAUCCUCCAAUUAUGAUAGGAGCAUUAUGAAUCAUACCUCUCUAACUAGAUUAUUAUUAUAUUUUAAAAGGAGAGAAGUGCUUACACUUGUAAUUGUCAUUUUGUAGAGUAAAAUCUGUUAUGUAACUUCUCCUAACUACCCAUCUAAGACAAGUAACAAAAGUUAAUAUAAAAAUGGGAAAAAAAUAGGUAUGUAUUUGCAAAAGUGAGAAAACUCCAAAAGAAUUUAAAAACCCUAGAGACUGUCUUCAGCUAUUUAUAAGAACCCGAGACCUCCCUAACCUCUGCCUCUCCUCUGCAUAGUGUACUUUGGCUCUCAGAAAGUGAAUGACAUGUUUCUUUAGACCGACCUUCUUGCCAUUUUGACAUCUUCAUUUCCAUCUAAAAAAAGAACAAAAAAUCCAAUCCCAAAGCCAUUAGUUAAAGAUGAGGGGAAGAUCUUCACCAAAGAAAGGAAACUCGGCAGGAAUAAUGGAAGUAGAAAAGGUUGACAAACUAAGACAAGAGCCUCAUCUCUCCGGUGCCUAUAUUAGAAACCUAGUCAAACAGUUAACUUCUUCACGUACCAAAGAUCCCUUAAAUCCUAAAGACAAUGAUGAGAAUUCAACAAAAAAUGAUGAUAGUUUGUGUAGUGAUACACAACAAUUAUCACAGCCAACACCACCACCACAACCACCACAGCUUAAAAAGAAACAAGUGAGGAGGAGACUCCACACUAGUAGGCCUUAUCAAGAAAGGCUUCUAAAUAUGGCCGAGGCUCGGCGAGAGAUUGUCACUGCCCUUAAGUUUCAUAGAGCCGCUAUGAAACAACAGCAACAACAACAACAAUCUCAGACAGGGCCACAGUCGUUAGUGACUUGGCCUCAAGAAUCUUCAGGAGAAGAACAAGGGAAGCUAAAAUCCCGUAGAAAUCCGAGGAUUUAUGCUUCCAACACUAUAAACAAUAACAUACCAAGUUACAACAAUAUGGAGAAUUUCUCCAAUUCAACCUUCCCUAAUUGCCUUCCACAAUAUCCUUAUUCCUGCCAUGUUUCAUCCUUUGGUUCCCAAUUACCUUUACAAGACCACCUCAAUUUUCCACUUCCCAACCAAACAUUAGGCUUGAAUCUCAAUUUCCAUGAUUUCAACAAUUUAGAUGCAACCCCUUAUUGUAGUAGCAAUAACAACACCUCAGUCUACUCAUCAGCAUCCCCUUCAUCUUCUUCAGAUGAAUUUCAUUAUGUGGGAUUAUCACAAGAAGGAGCUCCAAUUCAGAUGGUGAAUUCUAUCAAUUGUGAAGAUUCAGGGUUGCAUCCAUCAAUGGAUGACCAAGAAAUGGCAGAGAUCAGAUCAAUAGGAGAGCAACAUGAGAUGGAGUGGAAUGAUACCCUCAAUUUGGCAACUUCAGCUUGGUGGUACAAGUUCUUGAAAACCAUGGAAAUUGACCCUGAUGAUGAGAGUAAUGUUGCUGAGGAUUAUGGGUGUUAUCCAUUUGAUGAAGUUAUGGAAUUCCCAGCCUGGUUGAAUCCAAAUGAAAGCUGCUUGCAACAACAGGUCGAUGAAACCUAUUCUGAUCCUACCUUACCAUGGGUAAACUUUUAGAGUGCGGUCUACAUAAUAUAAGGGCGAACCUGCAUGAAUUCAGCCCUUUAAUUACUGUGGUACAGGCGUAUAGCUAAUGUUCUGCACAUAGCAGAAGCGUACAAGUAUAUUGAGUUGCCCAAUCAUCUUUUUACAUCAGAUUUUGUAUGGACAUUGAAGAAAUUGAAGGAAUGGAUGCCGAGUGGUUAGCUUGAACGAAGAAGAUUGAUUGGUUUUUAUCAUAAUUAAAUCUUUGGCUUUUACAUUGAAGCCCCCAAUUGCUGUUUUUUUUUCUUUUCUCUUUUUCGUUUGGGUAAGGAGAAUUUAAUUUUUUUCCUUUACUUUGUUUUUUCUUUAAAAUUAGUAAUAAAGGCGUUUGCUACAAUUCGCAGGCUCUAGAGAAAAAUAAUAGAUGAGGGAGAAAUUAUUAUACGUAUGUCUCCCAGUUUUCCUUUUCCAUCAAUUAUGAGAGAUCUGAUAUUUAAUGGUUCUCAUCAUUGUACUUUUUAAUUAUAGCUAGAAAAUUUUGUGUCCCAUUUGGUUGUGA